GGUAGCCUGCUCGCAGCCUGAAAUUUAGAAGGGGGAUUUUCCCCUUCUAAAUUUCAGGCUGCGAGCAGGCUACUC
rnacentral:miRNA from 1 species